GCGCAAUGGGCGGAAGCCUGACGCAGCGACGCCGCGUGGGGGAUGACGGCCUUCGGGUUGUAAACCUCUUUCGCCAUCGACGAAGCCUUUCGGGGUGACGGUAGGUGGAGAAGAAGCACCGGCCAACUACGUGCCAGCAGCCGCGGUAACACGUAGGGUGCGAGCGUUGUCCGGAAUUAUUGGGCGUAAAGAGCUCGUAGGCGGUGUGUCGCGUCGGCCGUGAAAACCUGGGGCUUAACUCUGGGCAUGCGGUCGAUACGGGCAUCACUUGAGUUCGGCAGGGGAGACUGGAAUUCCUGGUGUAGCGGUGAAAUGCGCAGAUAUCAGGAGGAACACCGGUGGCGAAGGCGGGUCUCUGGGCCGAUACUGACGCUGAGGAGCGAAAGCGUGGGGAGCGAACAGGAUUAGAUACCCUGGUAGUCCACGCCGUAAACGUUGGGCGCUAGGUGUGGGGACCAUUCCACGGUUUCUGUGCCGCAGCUAACGCAUUAAGCGCCCCGCCUGGGGAGUACGGCCGCAAGGCU
rnacentral:rRNA from 1 species